AAAGAUUAAGCCAUGCAUGUCUAAGUAUAAAUAAAUUUAUAUUGUGAAACUGCGAAUGGCUCAUUAAAUCAGUUAUGAUCUACGUGACAUAUUCUUUACUACUUGGAUAACCGUGGUAAUUCUAGAGCUAAUACAUGCAAAAAAACCCUGACUUACGAAAGGGUGCACUUAUUAGAUAAAGCCAACGCUGGGUAAAACCAGUUUCCCUUGGUGAUUCAUAAUAAUUUAGCGGAUCGCAUGGCCUUGUGCUAGCGACAGUCCACUCGAUUUUCUGCCCUAUCAUGGUUGAGAUUGUAAGAUAGAGGCUUACAAUGCCUA
rnacentral:rRNA from 1 species